GGAGAAGGCAAAGUGCAGAGGAAGGAGGAGCCACUGCUAGUGGGUACGAGGUUUCUUCUUGGUACAAGGACUUCUACGUUCUGUCCUCCUGCAGCCAUCUAAAAUCAGCCAGAAAGGUUUAGGAUCCCAUUUCCUGUUCUUGCAUCGGCUGUCCAAGCUGCUGUUCCUCUCUCCGCAGUAAGAGGGUGUUUCUCUCCCUGUUCAAGAGGAGCACCAACACUUGAGGACAGUAUCAUCCCUAGACCUUGGCAAGAGAGACCACUGAGUGAGGCAUCCAUGGAACCCAAGGAAGAGGCCUACGAAGAACCUGCAGUCACCUUCUAGACCAUUCUCCCUCACCAAACUGUCCCCUCCAGAGAGCUGAGGACUGGAUCUUCCCAUGCUGACACCUCCAGUGGGAAAGAAAAUUCUAGAUUCAGCUCUGGGUGUCCAAGUCAUUAUGAAGGCAUAUUUGUCAAGGUGGAAGAAAAGGACAUAUUCUAUUUAGCAGUUUCCAGGGCUGUGCUGAUCAAGGAGUCUCACUGGCUCUCCAGAAGAGCACAGAAGUCCUAAUUUGUAGCCUUUGCUGACUUCCGUGAUUCCAGUUCCCUCACUGACGGCAGAGUCGGGAGGAGGAGCCGUGAUGCUGACAUGCCACACCGGGUCAAGAAAGAAGUAAUGCAUGACUCUGAUUUGCGGCUGCAGGAUAAAUCCGAACUAUUUCAGGGAGAUGUCAUGGAGAGCUCAUCUCUCAGCAUCAAAGUUGCCUCUCCUGACUUUUGAAUUUUAAGUGUUCUGUGUGGAAGAAAAAUGGAGACAACAAAUUUCUAUGCAUGGAUUCAAAGAAUCCUCGUAAUAUACAGACUACAUUCUCCCCAGCUUUUUAUCUCUAUAUAUUCUUUUUGUUGAGUUUCAACCACAUAGGGUUGAAAUUCACCUUCCCACAUUACAUUUUUCAUCAAUAGUUGAAGACCUAUGUAUGUAAAUAUCAGGAACUAUCAGAACUCCCUGCAACAGGAAACCUGACCCCCAACUCCCCCGAAAUGCAUCAUGAUAAACAGUCACUUGCCAAAAUAACAAAUCAGCUUCCUGGAACAUGCUUGCUCAAAACCAGGAGAGGAGCUUAGAGACGUCAGCUUGACUUCUGCCUCGUACGCAGGAAGGGUGACCUUCAAAGAUCAAACAUCGUCCCAAAUCUCCCUUCAUCUUGUAGUACUCCUGCUUGUCGUAGCUCCUGUUACCAUCAGAGACAGAAUGUGCUAUAACCUUCUGGAAACUUCUACUAUUUUCCUGCAACCUGACUACCCCUUAGGUGAGGGAGUCCAGAAUGCUGGCUUGAAAUGGGAGAGAGAAAGAACUGCCACAUAAUUUGCAAGAUCUUUUUUGAAAAAGAAAAGGUAUUAAGAAUUCCAGGACAGCAUUAGGAAUGUAUUAAACCAGAAUAAGGAACAGCGGAGCUUCCCCCUAAGACCCUGGUGUGUUUCUGCAUCAGGAAACCUUCUCUCCUGCAAUGUGUCGUUUAAGAUUGAACAACAUGGUGCCUUUGCCAGAAGUUAACAGGAAACCCAAAAGGAGAUGAGCCAGACUGGUUAGUUCAGAAGAGAAUCGUUGGGGAAGACAAUGGGAGCUGCUGUUUGAAUGUGGCCCUGAGAUUAUUUGUGCUUUUCAAUCCCAUGUUACCAAAACACAUUUCAAGCUGGCCUAUAAAUCACACCUUGUGCAUAAUUUUAAGUGGAUAAAUAUUUGUCGCCCAAGUGAAUGAUGCUUCCAGCUUUCAAAAAA
ensembl:lncRNA novel transcript